rnacentral:rRNA from 1 species
CGGCCGCGGUAUCUUGACCGUGCAAAGGUAGCGCAAUCACUUGCCUUUUAAAUGAAGACCUGUAUGAAUGGCUAAACGAGGGCUUAACUGUCUCCUCUCCUAAGUCAAUGAAAUUGAUCUUCCCGUGCAGAAGCGGGGAUGAUUACAUAAGACGAGAAGACCCUAUGGAGCUUUAGACGCAAGGGCAAAUCAUGUUAAGAAUAUUAGACAAAUAAUUAAAACAGAUUGAACUCUGCCACAAUGUCUUUGGUUGGGGUGACCACGGGGAAAAACUUAACCCCCGCGCGGAAUAAAAGUAAAAUCUUUCAAAACCGAGAGUUACCACUCUAAGUAACAGAAAAUCUGACCUUAGUGAUCCGCAAUGCCGAUCAACGAACCGAGUUACCCUAGGGAUAACAGCGCAAUCCCCUUUUAGAGUCCCUAUCGACAAGGGGGUUUACGACCUCG